ACCGGUUGAUCCUGCCGGAGCCUACUGUUAUUGGGUUAGGACUAAGCCAUGCUAGUCAAGGUGUGAACUAUGUCACGUCUGGCGAAAUGCUUCGUAACGCGUAGUUAACCUACCCUCGGAACGGCUGACAACAGGGGGAAACUCCUGCUAAUCUCCGAUAGACUAAUCAUGUUGGAAUACAGGUUAGUCCAAAACGUGCACCGCAUGUGGUGUUACGGUCCGAGGAUGGGACUGCGUUCCAUUAGGUAGUUGGUGGUGUAACGGACCACCAAGCCGAGGAUGGAUAGGGGCCGUGAGAGCGGUAGCCCCAAGAUGGCCACUGAGACAACGGGCCAGGCCCUACGGGGUGCAGCAGGUACGAAACCUCACCAAUGCACGAAAGUGUGAGUGGGCUAACCCAAGUGCUACCCGUCGUGGUAGCUUUUAACGAGUGUAAAUAGCUCGUAGAAUAAGGAGAGGACAAGACUGGUGCCAGCCCCCGCGGUAAAACCAGCUCUUCGAAUGGUAGGCAUGAUUAUUGGGCCUAAGGCGUACGUAGCCUGGCUUGCAAGUCUCCAGAUAAAGCUCACGUCUUAAGCGUGAAAUCCCUGGGGAUACUACAGGCCUUGGGACCGGGAUAGGGCAAGGGUACGUGUCCGGUAGGGGUGAAAUCCUAUAAUCGGAUACGGACCACCGGUGGCGAAGGCGCUUGCCUGGGACGGGUCCGACGGUGAGGUACGAAAGCCAGGGUAGCGAGCCGGAUUAGAUACCCGGGUAGUCCUGGCCGUAAACGAUGCGGGUUAGGUGUUGCGGCGCACACGAAGCGUCGCGGUGCCGAAGCGAAGGCGUUAAACCUGCCGCCUGGGAAGUACGCUCGCAAGGGUGAAACUUAAAGGAAUUGGCGGGGGAGCACCACAAGGGGUGGAGCCUGCGGUUUAAUUGGACCCAACGCCGGAAAGCUUACCGGUUCAGACAGCAUUAUGAAAGUCAGGUUAAAGGCCUUACUUGAAGAGCUGAGAGGAGGUGCAUGGCCGUCGCCAGCUCGUGCCGUGAGGUGUCCUGUUAAGUCAGGCAACGAGCGAGACCGGAACCCUUAGUUGCCAGCGACAAGUACGCUUGGUCGGGUAUACUAAGGGGACCGCCAGUGAUGAAACUGGAGGAAGGAUCCGUCCACGGCAGGUCAGUAUGCCCCGAUAGAACCGGGCCACACGCGGGCUACAAUGGCACAGACAAUAGGUCCCGAUACCGAAAGGUAAAGGUAAUCCCGAAACUGUGUCUCAGUUGGAAUUGAGGCUUGAAACUCAGCCUCAUGAACUUGGAAUCCCUAGUAGUCGCAUGUCAUCAUCGUGCGGCGAAUACGUCCCUGCUCCUUGCACACACCGCCCGUCGCAGCAUGCGAGGCGGGUUGACCUGAGGCGGCUGUC
rnacentral:rRNA from 1 species